AGUAAACUCCUGUCUGCUUGGCUGGGGCUCAAAUGACAGGUUGUGCGAAGCUGCCGAUGUCAACUGACCUCAAAUAAUUGUAUUUAAGCAAUUUACUGCUUUUCCGGAGCUGCGUCUGUUUUCUUCAUGACUUUGCUCCCCUCCCUGAAAUGGGGCCUGUCCUGUGCUCAGAAGGCUGCGUGGUCAGUGUCCUGCGAAGACUCAGCCCCUGCGGGAAGGGGACGUCGUGAGUGGGGACAGGCCGGGGGACAGACGGACGGCCGCGGCAGGCGUAAUCGGGGAAGGAAGGGGGGGUGAGUGGGAGGAGCAAAACUGGAUGCAGUUAAUCCAAGUACACUCCAAUAAAAGAGAAAACAUUCUUCCACGAGCGCUUACAAACAAUUGUGUCACGGUGUUACUGUGACAUGACUUGUAAAUGUUUCUUUUUCCUGCCAUAUUAAACGAAGAGACAGGUGCGGUGGUGAGUGCCUGAACUCCCAGCAUUUGGGAAGCUGAGGCACAAGGGUUUUCUUGCUUUCAAGGCCAUUCUGGGCCUUGAAAUCCGCUGGGCCAUCCAGGGGAUUAAGCACCACCCUGAAGGUGUAGCAAAACUCUGCCUCAAGAAAACAAAAUGAUAAAACGAUAGCGAAAUAAAAGACAGGUGGUGAAACCUGUCACCCUGUCUCUGUCUCUCUGUCUCUGUCUCUCUGUCUCUGUCUCUCUGUGUCUCUCUCUGUCUCUGUCUCUCUGUGUCUCUGUCUCUGUCUCUCUUUCUGUGUCUCUCUGUGUCUCUCUCUGUCUCUGUCUCUCUGUCUCUCUGUCUCUGUCUCUCUGUCUCUGUCUCUCUGUGUCUCUCUCUGUCUCUGUCUCUCUCUGUCUCUUUCUCUCUGUCUCUGUCUCUCUCUCUGUGUCUCUCUCUGUCUCUGUCUCUUUCUCUGUCUCUCUGUCUCUGUCUCUCUGUCUCUGUCUCUGUCUCUCUGUCUCUGUCUCUCUGUCUCUGUCUCUGUCUCUCUGUCUCUGUCUCUCUGUCUCUGUCUCUCUGUCUCUGUCUCUGUCUCUUUCUCUGUCUCUCUGUGUCUCUGUCUCUGUGUCUCUGUCUCUGUCUCUCUGUCUCUGUCUGUGUCUGUGUCUCUGUCUCUGUCUCUGUCUCUCUCCUUAGUUACCUCUUUUCAUUACCAGCUUCCCCCGUGAUUGCUUCUGCUCCUAGCAAUCCAGGCUUUGCUCAGAAUCUGCUUUCCGUCUCCUGAUAUCACCCCUCCAGUUGCCCUCGCUAGUGUGAGGAUCUACACGUGUAGCUACCCUCGUGCGUUCACAAGCAAGUGGGUUCUCUGCUACUUACGAAUAGAAACCACCAUGAAGAUGAAGCAGGGUUAAGCAAACACUACUGUAAAGUUAUUCACGGCAACAGUUACGGCAUCGCUAUAGACACUCCUCACCUAAUGACCUAGUUGUACUCCUGUGACCAGGUCAUUAACUGAAUUGGCUGCUAACUGAGGAACUGUUUGCAGCAUGCACAUUUCCAAGGCAGAACAAAGAAUUGGUCAAAGAAACGCCAGCAUGAUGGCUUGGUUUUAUUUGCAUAAUUUGGCCUCCAGUACGGACGGAAGGUAAGACAACACCAAGCUGCAGUUCUAUGUGAUGUAGUACAACCAGCAAAAAUGAUGGUAUUGAUUAAGCAGGGUGUACCGUUCAGAAAGUCAUCGGAGGUCUACAAAUCAGGCGUGCAGAACUGUAUGUAUUGUAUUACAGCCGUAAGGCCCAGCAGUGCGGCAGAAAUCCCAACAGCUCGGCUCAGCCAGAUUCAGACACUGAUGAGAAAGUAGAUCACUGAACGUGGCCUACGUGGCGUGAACACUGCCGUGGUCGGUGUUUGAAGAGAAAUGGGUUAUUUAUGUGGUGUGUAGCCUGCCAAAGAUACUAAUUACAAAGGGGAAGAAGGAACUAUAUUGCCGAUUCUGUCAAAUACCAUAAAAGGAAAAAAAUGAAUCAGUACCGAUCCCAGCAGCACUGGAACGUAUGCCACCAAGGAUGUCUGCGCCCAGCAAAUCAAGGGAGGGCACUUUCCUACAGCGUCCCUGGUCAGUGCAUGACCCGACUGUCAUAACCCAGAACGAGGAGGAUGCUGUAUCAAAAGUCUCUCAUUGCCAACUCCUGCCCCGGUAUCGAUGGAAGCGUGGCCCGGGUGAGCCUGCCGCCGGCUUUGGGACAUCGGUUUGGCCGGAAUUCCUUGCGUACUUACAGACGGUGCACACUGCUUGGCGUGUCACUUGCAGAGCUGAAGAGGAGCAGACCGGUGUGUUCAGUUUGAAAAGCUGGAUGAAUCUGUCUGAUCCCCCGUGGAAACACUUUGCUGAUUUGUUCAGAGUUCUACAUUUAAGUGUCCAAAUCAUUCUGGUUAUUAACGUUGUUCUGACCCAUCACACAUUUCUGUGUGGACAGUGGGAGGGACGCUGGGGUCAGGAUCGUCACCACCACUGCUUAAACACGUUCUGUGCGGCAGGACCAGGUCACGGCAGCACUGACCGCUGGCGGACAGGUGAACUAUUACGCUGCACUGUGUCUUCUUUGAGAAGAUUUAUGGCUCUGCGGCGUCCGGCUCUGGGAGACUCACAAAACUACGGAUUGUGUUUUGGAUGUCAGGUUGCGUCAGUGCUUCCCGUAACUUUGAGAUGUUAAAUGUUUAAACAAUUCGUAGCAUUCCCUUAUAAUAAAUCACUAGGUUUUAUCUGUGUUACCAUCUUUUCGUGAUCAGAUUAUAAACCCCUGCUGAAUGACAAAGGCUUGCUUUUCUGUCUCCACUCAAGUGGAGGUCGUGAGUUCAAUUCCUGGUAUCAAAAAAUCAAUAAAUAAAAGUAAAAUUUAAUGAUAAAGCGGGCGAUGUGGCUCAGUGACACAGCACCUGCCGGGCAAGUGCAAGGUCCUGAGUUCCAUUCCUGGUACCAAAAUAAAGUAAGUAAAUGACAGAGUCUACAAAAUUUAAUGACAAAAAAACCCCGACAGUGUACACACAGCAUGUUAGUGGCUCUGAAAAUUGCGCACUACGUGUAGUCUGUAAAACAUUGCUAUGUUAAUAGAUGUCUUCCUGGAGCACUGAAAGACGUGUCUGCUAAUUUCCGUAUUGUUUGGAGACCCAUCAACACUUGAGCACACGUACAGAAAUUGACAGUAAUAAAAUGAUAAAAUAUGACACCCAAUUAGCAAAUUCUUGCUAGCAUAACGGACUGUGUGCAGAAAAGAUUCAAACACAAGCCAGUGGAACCACAAAGGAAAAUUCGAUUUUGGUAUCAUGUUACCCGCGAUGACUAAAUGUGAACCAUAAAGAAAAGAAAACAAAAUACCAAGGCUUCUGUUAUGCAAGAAACACUCACUUCGUAUUUGGAUCUAGCGCAGGGCCACAGAAACACAAUUAUCAUGUACUUUGAGGCAGCAUCGAGCUCCUGUAGUUACUCUUUUUUGGUGCUGGGGCUUCGCCCUGUUCCCCAGACUGCUCCGAACUUACUAGGACCCUCCUGACUCAGCCACUUGAGUGCCGGGAUGACAGGCGUGAGCCACUUCAUCUGCUUAAAUAUUUAUUCUUUUUCAAAUUGUUUUCCCAAAUCCAUUUUAUUUCAAUGAACAAAAGCAGCAUAAAAUUAAAACAGAAUUUCACAAUGCUUCCAUCAGGGGGCAGCAGUGGUACAUACAGAGCACAUUGUCACCCCUGAAUCCUUCACCAGGGCACAAAACAUCUACAUUCAAUUGUCUGAAAAGCGCGAGCACAAAUCCUUCUCUUCAGUCAUCUCAGACGUAUAAUUAUCUUAACCAUUUUAUACAUACACAUACACAUGUUAUUCCAGUGUUUACACUAAUGACACAGAACUAUGUUCACACCUGUCUUAUUUGUUUUUUUUUUUUAACAAAUUUUGUUUUAUCGGUACCAGGGACUGAACUCACAACCGUGCGCUUGCAAGGCAGGCACUUAUGCCACUGAGCUAAAUCCCCAGCCCCGUGUUACUUAUUUCACCGAGUGUGAUCUCUUGCAUCCAUUUGCCUACAAAAGUCUUCAGUUCAUCCUUCUUUAUGGCUGUGUAGUACUCCACUAUAAAAAAAUACCACAACUUUUUUAUCCAUUCCUCAGACGAAGGGCACUUAGGUUGUUUCCAAGAUCGGGCUAUUACAAACUGUGCCGCUAUAAACAUGCGUGCACAUGUAUCACUGUGGUACGAUGUUUUUAAUGCUUUGGGGAAGAUUCCCAGAAGGGAAUAGCUGGGUUGAAUGGCCUUCUGGUUUUUGAGGAAUCUUGACACUGAGCUCCACAGUGGCUGCACCGUCUGCAUUCCCACCAACAGUGGAGCAGGGCUCCUUUUCAGACGUCUUGUGCUCCAAGUGAAUGUUUUGACGAUGCCCAUGUCCAGUGGAUUUACCAUGGCUGCCCGCUGAUUAAUGCCCUUUGAAAUUUUAUUGUAGGUUUUUGCUUUUUUAUGCUUGAAAUAAAAUGGAUUUGAAAAAUAAAUAAAUUAAACUCACUUAUUUAUUAUUCACAGCGAAAGACCAUCAUAGUCUUUACUGAUGCAACUAAAAUCUUUCUAAACUUUGUGUUUCUUUGGGGUGAAAAUAUUUAAUUUGCUUUUGAAGAUAUUUAUAUUUUUGCCGUUAGCUUUGUUGCCUGCUGUGCUGGGCUCUAACUCAGGUCCCUGUGUAUGCUGUGCAUGUGUUCCACUGUGGUUGUGCAUCCGUAACUUUAAGAUGUUAAAAUUUUAAACAAUGCAUAGCAUUUCCUUAUAAUAAAUCACUAGGUUUUAUCUGUG